rnacentral:rRNA from 1 species
GACGCCCUGGUUGCCCGAUACCCCACCAACUAGCUGAUAGGCCGUGAGCCCAUCCCGUAGCGCAAAAGCCUUUCCUCUAGGAAGCCAUGCGGUUCUAAGAGAAUAUCCGGUAUUAAUCCAAGUUUCCCUGGGCUAUCCCGGUCUGCGGGGCAGGUUGCUCACGUGUUACUCACCCGUUCGCCGCUCCGUAAUAGGAUUGGUUACCCGCACCUAUUCGUCGCUCGACUUGCAUGCAUUAGGCACGCCGCCAGCGUUCGUCCUGAGCCAGGAUCAAACUCUAAUCUAGAUGCAUCGCGAGUCCC